rnacentral:rRNA from 1 species
AUUGAACGCUGGCGGCAGGCCUAACACAUGCAAGUCGAACGAGUGGCGGACGGGUGAGUAAUGUCUGGGAAACUGCCCGAUGGAGGGGGAUAACUACUGGAAACGGUAGCUAAUACCGCAUACCAUCGGAUGUGCCCAGAUGGGAUUAGCGAGUCGGUGGGGUAACGGAUCACCUAGGCGACGAUCCCUAGCUGGUCUGAGAGGAUGACCAGCCAACCUGGGACUGAGACACGGCCCAGACUCCUACGGGAGGCAGCAGUGGGAAAUAUUGCACAAUGGGCGCAAGCCUGAUGCAGCCAUGCCGCGUGUAUGAAGAAGGCCUUCGGGUUGUAAAGUACUUUCAGCGAGGAGGCGUUACUCGCAGAAGAAGCACCGGCUAACUCCGUGCCAGCAGCCGCGGUAAUUC